AUUCUAGGCUGACGAGUUCCAAAUAGGACGAAACACACGUCUUGGAU
rfam:Schistosoma haematobium scaffold1185_3, whole genome shotgun sequence.